CCAACACAAAACCAGCAUGAAGAACAAGUAUGAAAACUUAUUUGAUGGAAUCAAACUACAACUACAAAAAACUACACGUUUUUUACCCGGUUUGGAGCUCGACAUCUGUGGUCACUAUGAACCACGUCACAGAAUGGAAAAGAGGAGCGUGUGUAUCAAAAAUUCACAUUUUGUGUUACAUGGAAAAAAGAACAGCAGUUUGGAUUGCUAUGAGGAAAUGUGUGCAGUGCCUUACCUGUUUCAGUAGCUUCCUGCUUCAGAAGAUCAUCACCCUGAAAACCCACAGCUGGACACUGGAGUGACGAUGGAAAAAAUCUGGUCUAACCAUCCAUUAAAUAGCAUUCAGAGAGCACCAAACCCAAUAUGAAGCAGUUUUAAAAAAGAAAUGCAGAAAAUCUCUCUCCACGUUGAUCAACAAUGGCCGUAGCAAUCCCAGAGAUCUUUUUUCAGUCAUAAUCACUUCAGGAUCUCUCUCUGCAACUGACAUCCAAUGCAAUAGAUUUUGACUUUUUUGAAGACAAAAUAACAACCAUCCAGCACAUAAUACUGCAAAAUAAAGGCUACUGCAUGAGAGCCUCACAUCCUCCCUCACAAGUUAACCAGGAAUUUAACACCAUAUUCCCUAAAAUCAUAUUGGUCCAGAUCAAGAAAAUGAAAUCUACAACCAGCAUUCUCGACCCCAUCCCAACACAUCUCCUCAAGUCAUACCCAGCUAGUAAUUAUAUUGAUCACAUUAAUUGUGAACAGCUCUCUUAAAUCUGGAUCAGUUCCCUCCUAUUUCAAAACGGCUGCUAUCACUCCUCUGCUGAAAAAGCCCUAUCUUUAUCAGAAUACACAGUGAAAUUAUGGACCCAUUUCCAAUAAACCAUUCAGAGCCAAAGUGUUUGAAAUGGUUGUAGCAACACAACUAAAUAAAUAUAUUUAGUUAUUUAUUCACAAUCUUUACGAGAUUUUUCAGUCUAGUUUCAGACCCUGCCAUAGUACAGAGACUGCCCUGGUCAAAGUGUCCAAUGAGGUUCGCUUAGUCUGUGUCACCAUCAUUAUUGGUUUUAUUAGAUCUCACAGCUGCUUUUGACACAGUCAGUUAUUCUCCUGUGCAGAUUACAAGAGGAAAUUGGGCUGCAAGGAACUGCUAUAAAGUGGUUCACAUCAUAUAUCUCAGAUUGCCUGCAGUUUUUUGCUAUUGGGGAGGCCAGAUCUAGGACCACAUUAGUUGCCUGCGGUGUUCCUCAGGGGUCAGUUCUGGGUCCCAUCUCAUUUUUGAUCUACAUGUUCCCUCUGGGUGAAAUUUUGCACAAGAGAGGCAUCAAUUUCCACAGCUAUGCUGAUGAUACUCAGUUGCAUUUAAAAUCUACACCAAAUGCUUCCUCAGCAUUCGCAAAGCUAAACAGCUGCUUUGUGGAGAUAAAAUCUUGGAUGUCCAAUGACUUUCUGCAUCUGAACAGCUUAUAAACAGAGGCCAUGUUAAUUGGCACCUCUCAGCAAAUUUCUGCAGCAGGUUUAUUAUGCCCUGAAAUUUGUGGUCAGACUAUCCUUCUCUCAAGUAUGCUUACCAAUCUGGGCAUUAAAUUUGUGCAGUAAAUUUGGAGUGGUGGUAGCAUAGUGGGCUAAAGCACAUAACUGAUAAUCAGAAGGUUGCUGGUUCAAUCCCCACAGCCAUCACCAUUGUGUCCUUGAGCAAGGCACUUAACUCCAAGUUGCUCCAGGGGGAUUGUCCCUGUAAAUCGCUUUGGAUAAAAGCAUCUGCCAAAUGCAUAAAUGUGAUGUCAAUUUGAUAAUAACUUGUGUUUUAGUGAUCACAUAAAAAUGGUGUGCAAGACCUCUUACUUUCAUCUAAAAAAUAUUUCUCAGCUGAGGCCAUCGCUCAGCUUUUCCGAUGCUGAGACGCUCAUCCAUUCAUUUGUGUUCUCAUGUCUCGAUUACUUUCCUAAGUGGCCUGCCAGGGAAAGACCUACACAAAUUUAUUGGCAUUCUGGUAGCUACUUCAAAAGAGUGCUAGCUUCCUGUUAAAACCCGAGUGGACUAUAAGGUGCUCUUGUUGGUGGGACCUUCCUACCUGACUGAGCUCAUAGCUGCCGAGACCUCAGCUGGCUUAUAAAGGUCCACCCUAAGCUCAGUCCUCCAUGUCUCCAGACAUGGGUGACCAUGCCUUCUAAGUCUGUGGUCCUCAUCUGUGGAACUCCCUGCCUUCUCAUGUCUGCAAUAUAGAAUGUUUUUAAGGUUUCAAGAAAGAUCUAAAAACCCAUCUUUACCAUCAAUCUUUUCUGCCAUCUUAGUUUUCCUUUUGUCCAGCACCUUGAGAUUGCUAUGCAAAUGAAAAGCACUAUAUAAAUUGAAAUUAUUAGUAGUAUUUUUAUUAUGUGAAUGCACUCAUGAACUAAUCAUCAAUUUUGGAUCAAACUCUGAGCGCUUUGAUACCACAUAACCCUAAUGAAACCUGAUUGGAUUUGGUGGGUUUUGUCAAACUAAAACCAAUCCUGAAAUCCUAAA